UGCAGAUGAUGUGAAAUGCUUUCCGUCUGAUUAGUUAAGAUGACAAUUUCCACCAAGAUCGCUGAUGCA